rnacentral:lncRNA from 1 species
UAUUACCUAUGGGUGACGUAUUUAUGUUAUGUAAUCUGCUUCUGUGCUUUACUAUGUGUUUGUGUGGUAUCUCGUGCCUUGAGCCGGGGGUCUAUCGGAAACAGCCUUUCUACUUCUUUAGAGGUAGAGGUAUGGACUGCGUACAUCUUAUCCCCCCAGACCCCACUAGGUGGGAAUACACUGGGUUUGUUGUUGUUGUUGUUGUUG